GUACAAACUAUGCACUGGAUAACAGUGGUCACAUAGACUAAAUGUCUUGGUAUCUUAGUUUAGAAACACUGAAUAACCUGAUUCAUGCUAAUUUUGACUCUCCAGGUAAGGGAGAAUCUAUCAAGAAGUAUAAUUAUGUUGCUUAGAGAAAAGAAGGUUCUAGUGAUUCACUUUAAAUUUACUUGCUAUAUUUAUUUUAUUUGUAAACUAUUUCUGUCUUUCAGGAAAUGGCCAAUUAUUGUUCAGUGGUGUGUGUGUGUGUGUGUGUGUGUGUGUGUGUGAGAGAGAGAGAGAGAGAGAGAGAGAGAGAGAAUUUGCAUCUGUAAGAAGCCAAAUCAUAAGAGGACAGAAUUUCUCAGCUAUAAAUGAUGUUGGGCAAAACACAAAUUGCUGACAAAGGAUAGGAAAUCUGACCACUAGAGAUUUCUAAUAAGAGGGAUAAUAAUCCACCAGAUGGCCUGAGAGUCUUUUAAAACUAUUGUCUUUGCUAUCUUGUGAUGGUGGUUGGGGAAUGAAAUACUCUAAGCAAUUGGGUAUUCCAGUUAAUUAUUGCUACUUGUGCUAGCAAUUUUCAAGGAAUUAUGAAUUUCAAACCAUAAGAAAAAACAAAAUCCCCAAUAUACCACUUUGUAGAUAAAAGGAAGUACUAGGAAAGGGAGCACAUGAGCAGAGGCCACUCUGGGUUUAUUUUCUGGAUCUUAUUCUGAAAACUAACAACAGAUAAGACUGUGUUUAUCUGUCUUUUGGAAAAAGUCCAAAGUAUUAUAUUGAGAAACUUCAUCCUUCCAAGGAUACCACUCCAAAGAUAGCAAACUUGAAUUAUGCAAAAAAAAGAAAAGCAAGCUCAAAAGGUCUUUAUAAAUCUUAAAAUUACUUUAGAAUAUUUUUUUCAUCUUUUUUUAUUGGUUGUUCAAAACAUUACAAAGCUCAUGACAUAUCAUCUUUCAUACAUUUGAUUCAAGUGAGUUAUGAUUGUGAGGGGAAGGGGG
rnacentral:lncRNA from 1 species